rnacentral:rRNA from 1 species
UAAUACGUAGGGUGCAAGCGUUAAUCGGAAUUACUGGGCGUAAAGCGUGCGCAGGCGGUUUUGUAAGUCAGAUGUGAAAUCCCCGGGCUUAACCUGGGAACUGCGUUUGAAACUACAAGGCUAGAGUGUGGCAGAGGGGGGUGGAAUUCCACGUGUAGCAGUGAAAUGCGUAGAGAUGUGGAGGAACACCGAUGGCGAAGGCAGCCCCCUGGGUUAACACUGACGCUCAGGCACGAAAGCGUGGGGAGCAAACAGGAUUAGAUACCCUGGUAGUCCACGCCCUAAACGAUGUCAACUAGUUGUCGGGUCUUAACGGACUUGGUAACGCAGCUAACGCGUGAAGUUGACCGCCU